rnacentral:tRNA from 3 species
GGAGUCGUGGUGUAGCGGUAAACAUGCCGGCCUGUCACGCCGGAGAUCGCGGGUUCGAUUCCCGUCGACUCCGCCA